rnacentral:lncRNA from 1 species
AUCCCACAUGACAUUGUGUUGUCCACCACGGCAGCACCCACUUAUCUCUGACCUUCAUGAAGAGAACUGUUCCUGUCUGUAGACAAGGUAGCCUCGGCCUUUAGCAGGGGUCAAUCAGCCAGUCGCAGAGGUCUUUCCUCCACCCAUGUGCUUCUGUCAGUGUUUGACACUCGUGCUGUGGUGGCUCCAGGUCCGGAUUGGGCAGCAAGGUGACCAGAUUGUCCCCAACCGGUGGAGAAUCUAGUCCAUGGCAGCUGACCAGUGGUCCCAUCUUUUGGGACACUCUAUUCAAAGGCAGAACAUCAGGCACUCUAUCACA